rnacentral:rRNA from 1 species
GACGAACGCUGGCGGCGUGCUUAACACAUGCAAGUCUACGAGAACGAGGUAGCAAUAUCUUUAGUAAAGUGGCGCACGGGUGCGUAACACGUAAGCAAUCUACCUUUGGGUCUGGAAUAACUUCGAGAAAUCGAGGCUAAUACCGGAUAAUGCAGCGGCACCGCAUGGUGCUGUUGUUAAAGUUUGAGUAAUGCCUAUAGAUGAGCUUGCGUCUGAUUAGCUAGUUGGUAGGGUAAAGGCCUACCAAGGCAACGAUCAGUAGCUGGUCUGAGAGGAUGAUCAGCCACACUGGAACUGAGACACGGUCCAGACUCCUACGGGAGGCAGCAGUGAGGAAUAUUGGGCAAUGCCCGCAAGGGUGACCCAGCAACGCCGCGUGGAGGAUGAAGGCCGUAAGGUUGUAAACUCCUGUUAGAGGAGAAGAAUAGUGCCGAUUGGAUCGGUAUUUGACUGUACCCUCAGAGAAAGCCCCGGCUAACUACGUGCCAGCCGCCGCCGUAAUAC